CCUACGGGUGGCAGCAGUGAGGAAUAUUGGUCAAUGGGCGGGAGCCUGAACCAGCCAAGUCGCGUGAGGGAAGACGGUCCUAUGGAUUGUAAACCUCUUUAGGCGGGGAGCAAUGCCGGGCACGCGUGCCCGGAGGGAGAGUACCCGCAGAAUAAGCAUCGGCGAACUCCGUGCCAGCAGCCGCGGUAAGACGGAGGAUGCGAGCGUUAUCCGGAUUUAUUGGGUUUAAAGGGUGCGUAGGCGGAUUUUUAAGUCAGCGGUAAAAUGUCCGGGCUCAACCCGGGCCGGCCGUUGAUACUGGGGAGCUUGAGUGGGCGAGAAGUAUGCGGAAUGCGUGGUGUAGCGGUGAAAUGCAUAGAUAUCACGCAGAACUCCGAUUGCGAAGGCAGCAUACCGGCGCCCGACUGACGCUGAGGCACGAAAGCGUGGGGAUCGAACAGGAUUAGAUACCCCUGUAGUC
rnacentral:rRNA from 1 species